UCCCUUGUAGCUCAGUCGGUAAAGAAUCUGCCUGCAGUGCAGAAGACCCGGGUUCGAUCCCUGGGUUCGGAA
rnacentral:tRNA from 1 species